rnacentral:rRNA from 1 species
UACGUAGGGUGCAAGCGUUGUCCGGAAUUAUUGGGCGUAAAGAGCUCGUAGGCGGCCUGCUAAGUCGAACGUGAAAUCCCCGAGCUCAACUCGGGAACUGCGUCCGAUACUGGCAGGCUUGAAUCCGGGAGAGGGAUGCGGAAUUCCAGGUGUAGCGGUGAAAUGCGUAGAUAUCUGGAGGAACACCGGUGGCGAAGGCGGCAUCCUGGACCGGCAUUGACGCUGAGGCGCGAAAGCCAGGGGAGCAAAGCGGG